UACGUAGGGGGCGAGCGUUGUCCGGAAUGACUGGGCGUAAAGGGUGUGUAGGCGGUUUAUUAAGUUAGAAGUGAAAUACCUAGGGCUUAACCCAGGUGCUGCUUCUAAAACUGAUAGACUUGAGUGCAGUAGAGGAAAGUGGAAUUCCUAGUGUAGCGGUGGAAUGCGUAGAUAUUAGGAGGAACACCAGUGGCGAAGGCGAUUUGCUGGGCCAUCACUGACGCUGAGGUACGAAAGCGUGGGGAGCAAAUAGG
rnacentral:rRNA from 1 species